UUUUUUUUUUACUAAAAGAAUAAAUUUUAUUUCAGCACUGUAAGUCGUUUCUCAACCGUACAAACACGACCACCAUCUUUACAUCAUCAAGCCUCUCCUCCUGUUCCAGUCUUCCUUUGUGAAAUCACUUCCUCCACAGCCAGACGAAUAUAAAAGGGCUCUCUCCACAACAUUCUGGUGCUUCCAUUUUAGCUAACGAUGACAAAUUAUACCGAUCAUAAUUAUAACAGCAAUAAUAGUAGUGAUGAAGAUGAACCUUUUACUGCACUGUUGUUUUGAGGGGGAGGGGCUUACAGUACAUGAUACAGUACACAUUACUGCUGGUUUACAGUUGAUGUAUUACAUGUGUUACAGUUGCUUCAGAAGGCGUUGGUACAGAUACUCACAGACUCGACACCUGUAUGAUGUUAUAUCAUCAUCAUGUGACCUGAACUGACCGCUCACUCCAUAUCCUCCCUAGCUGCAUCCCAAAUAGCAUCCUAUUCCCUUUCUAGUACACUACUCAUGACCAGGACCCUGCACCACAAGGUCAAAAGUAGUGCACUAUUAUAAGGAAUGGAGUGAAAUUUGGAAUGUAAUCAACUGUCUUUAUUACCUGUAAGCCUAUCUAGUCUGGACCACCAGGCAGUGUAGCCAUACAUGUACUGAAACCUUAUAACACAGUCCUACAGUAACCAAUACAGCUCUGUUCUACUCAUCACAAAACUCCACUCUAUAAGGGGUAAACCAAUCACACGUGCUGUGAUGUCAUCAUAGAAUCGCUCUCAUGAUAGGCCAUUGUAUUUUUCUGGGGACUUCCAACUCUGUGCAAAGUACAGCUUCACUUGAGUCGACCAUGAAAUCUUUAUAAAGGGACGUUAAUAAUACGAGAAUAUACGAACGUAGUGCAGAAACGAUUAUCAUUUAAAAAGCUUUUGACGGGCGAUAUUUAACUGACAUAGUAACAACGACAAGGUGAUCUUUAAAAUGAUUUAUGGCAUAUAAAUCUCUAUGUUUGGCUAAAGCCUCUUAGAACUAACGGUUGCUUUGAUAGAUAGAAGGGGUUAGAAGACAUUAAAAAGAGUAAGAAAAAAAAAAGUGAAGCACAAUUGAAUAAAACAGAUUUUUUUUUGUUGCAGACUCUGGCUAGUUUACAAAGAGAAACUGAUCAUCAAUAAUAACAUCGUUCACAAAGAGAAACCGAUCAUCAAUAAUAACAUAGCCUCUACUGUUAGUGUGGGUGGUUAGGGGCGGGGUCAGAAAACAGCCAAUAGAAAUGGUCCUAGAGGAAACAGAUAAGGGCUGAUACAGUGAUCCAUCCAUCGGACAGACUGCCUGUGUCGGACAGACUGCCUGUGUCGGACAGACUGUUGGUGAAAGGGUGUAAAGACUGUUGGUGAAAGGGUGUAAAGACUGUUGGUGAAAGGGUGUAAAGACUGUUGGUGAAAGGGUGUUGGUGAAAGGGUGUUGGUGAAAGGGUGUUGGUGAAAGGGUGUAAAGACUGUACUCUAUGGGCUGCUUUAAGCGGAACGACCUAAUGAGGGGGACAGAGGGAGGAAGAGAGCGAGAACGGUGAAGACGGGGGUGAAGAGAGAGGUGGGGUUGAAGGGCGAGGGGGGGGGGUGAAGAGAGGAGGGGUUGAAGGGCGGGGGGGUGAAGAGAGAGGUGGGGUUGAAGGGCGAGGAGGGGGUGAAGAGAGAGGUGGGGUUGAAGGGCGAGGGGGGGGGGUGAAGAGAGGAGGGGUUGAAGGGCGAGGGUGAAGAGAGAAGGGAUGUUGGUAUAUAGAGGAAUAUUAAAAUAAGCAAUAAAAUCACUGAUCAAUAAAAUCUAAUACAACUAAAUCAGACACGGAUAACAAUGGGAGAGUAAUUAUGUUGUUGUUGACUUUAUCCAUACUAGCUAGUGUCUAACUCAGGGUGUGACAUCAAUGUGUGUGUGUGUGUGUGUGUGUGUGUGAGAGAGUGUGAGUGUGAGUGUGUGAGUGUGAGUGUGUGUGUGUGUGUGUGAGUGUGUGUGUGUGUGUGAGUGUGUGUGUGUGUGUGUGUGAGUGUGUGUGUGUGUGUGUGUGCACGUACUCUUACGAGUGAGUCAAGAGGGAUGUGUGUGUGUCAGACUGCAGCUCGGUACAACUGUAGAGUUAUCAAGUCUCUCUGCUCCACCCACAGACAGUAACUGACGAGGAACAGCAACAUCACUUCAGCACAAACACAGAGAGGGCUGGUAACAACUACUGUGUGUGUGUGUGAGUAAGUAUUCUUACGAGUGAGUCGACAGGGAUGUGCGUAAUUUUGCCAGCUAGCGGAGCGACUUAAGUUAGGCCCACUCCUCCGCCUGGCUGAACAGAAAUAGUCAUGACCUGCAGUGUCCCGUCAUCUUAUUGUGCUACAGUAACGUCAUGUGAAAAGGUUAAAGCAUUAUUCAUGGAGUGCAAAUUCCGUCACAAUAUUGUUUAUAACGUUCGUUUUGAACUGAUGCACGACUGAGCAUUCUACUCAAUGAGCGCCGAUGAAGAUUUCAUCAAAAGUGCAUUACAGUGGCUUGGGAAUACAAUGACACUCAAAAGGAGGCAAAUAAUUAGUAGGAAAACCUUUUGAUGUCGCCAGAUUGACUUUAGAUACAGUAUAACGUUAGCUAGCUAGCUAAGAUUGAGGUGAGGCCACCAGAUAGACUUUAAAUGCAGUACAACAUUAGCUAGCUAGCUAAGAUUGAGGGGAGGCCACCAGAUAGACUUUAAAUGCAGUGUAACGUUAGCUAGCUAGCCACCAGAUUGACUUUAGAUGCAGUGUAACGUUAGCUAGCUAGCCACCAGAUUGACUUUAAAUGCAGUGUAACGUUAGCUAGCUAGCCACCAGAUUGACUUUAGAUGCAGUGUAACGUUAGCUAGCUAGCCACCAGAUUGACUUUAGAUGCAGUGUAACGUUAGCUAGCUAGCCACCAGAUUGACUUUAGAUGCAGUGUAACGUUAGCUAGCUAGCCACCAGAUUGACUUUAGAUGCAGUGUAACGUUAGCUAGCUAAAAUGGAGGUGAGGCCAUUUUUUUUAUUAGGUUUUUGACAAACUUUGCUAGCUAAUGACAACAUUGCAAUCAAAGUAAAUUUGAAGGCAUGAUAACGCUUGCAAACUUUUUCCUACUAAAUACUUGACUACUUUAGCAAUGUCAUUGUAUUUCCAGAAUUACUUUUUUUUAAUCGCAACUUUAGGGCGCCGCAGAUAGAGGCCUGCUUGAGAACGUUCACAACAAUGGCAUGAUGCGACAUAGUGAGGGAGGUGCAUCCUAUGAAUAUGUACUCUCUGUGUGUGUGUGUGUGUAUAUAUAUAAAAAAUAUAUGAGUCGUAGUCGUUCAGUCAUGCUGGGUAUUAUAUGACCAGUGGGGCUCUUCUCUAGCCAGUCUAGGGGUUCAAAUCUGUCUGCUAGAUAGCCCUGAGACGACUGGAUUAAAAGACUGUUGUUGUUCUCAAUACUUCAUGUGGGAUUAAGAUCCAAAGUCUCGUUUUACAACAACCAUCAGAAGGCAGAGAUGAUUUGCUUGUAAACAGUUCCACAACCCUUGCACGCCAUGGAGUCUUGAGCCGCAGCUUUCCAAAAUCAUUUUGGUUGAAGUGUAUUUAGAUGUUAUGUUUGCUUUGGCAACUUUGGGCUUUGUGGGGCUAUGUAGAUGCUACUAAGGUAGUUGUGGUUGGAACUGGACUAUUUAGCAGACAGAAUGUCACCCUUUCUGUUUGUGUUUUAACUACAGUCCUGUAGAGUUUAGUCCAAUACUGUUACUACUGUCCUACAACUACAGUAACAACACUCCUAACAAUUCUCUGUACGCUUCAGCAAGUCAUAUCAAUAACCAGCCAUCAAUAAGACCCUGGUUUUCAUUUGGUAGUUGUUUGUUGACAAGUUAACGGGCCGUUUGUUGUGUCUCAGUGUAACGGAUCUUAACGGUGGGCUCAGUGAUUUAAAUAUCAACACUGACUGUGUACCCUAUGAGUAUAAGGCUGAAGAUCAACAACAGAGGCAGUCUUGUGGAAUCCUUAGGUUCUUCACAGGAACGAAGAGGAUCAGUCAGAAUGUAGGGAAUAGGGUGCCAUUUCAUCUGGGCAGGGUUUCCUUCAGUUAAACAGUUAAGAUUUUAGACCAGCGUUUCCCCAACUCAGUCACCCCCCCCCUCUCCCGGGUGCACCUUUUGGUUCUGACCCAGCACUACACAGCUGAUUCAAUAACCAACUCAUCGGCAAGCUUUGAUUAUUUGAAUCAGCUGUGUAGUGCUGGGGGAAACCCUUAGGCGUCCCGAGGUACGAGUUUGGGAAACAUUGUCUUAGGCCUAACCAUCAGAUAGAUAGAGCAUCAAGUCUUUGACAUGGUCUCCUUCUGUUGCCUUGCCUUGUCAGGGGUUCAUAUAGGGUGCCUCCCAAAUGGUACCCCAUUCCCUAUAUAGUGCACUACUUUUGACCAAAGCCCUAUGGGGGUAGCCCUAUGGGCCAUAAACAGAACUAGUGCAGUAGAAGGACUAGGAGUCCUUUGGGCAGCAUCCAUGUCCCUACGCUGGUUAAAUUGAGUUGAUUCAGUCCAUGUUAUUUCUACAGAUGUCCAGGAGACAGACAGAUCAAUCCUACUACUCUGCUCUGUCGUCUACUAACAUUAAAACAAGACAAUACUCUGAUUCCUCUCAGAGCACACCUAUUAAGGGAAUACUUAUUUUGUCCUCUAUCAUAAUUAUAAAACUAUUUAGGAUCUUUAGAUUGUGGGCAGAACAUUCAUGUGUUCCCACCCCAAACCCCUGCUGAUUGUGGAGGUAGUUUGGGGGAAGUGCUUCUUGUUGUUGGUUAAAGAGCUGAGAACGGCUGUGCUAUCGCCGUGGCGACUGCUAACCAAUCACCAGGCGGGGUUGGGGAGGCGGUGCUACCAGGCCUGUCCUGAUUGGCCAGCCAGCUGACAGGGCUGGUGUGGGUCUAUGCUUUGGGACUUCAUCAGGUCUUGUCUAUAACGGCAACCUACCCCCAUAAUGCACUGCUUCUGAUGAACAGGAGUAGUAGUGCACCAUGUAGGAAAUAGGGUGCCAUUUGAGACGUGCCAGUCAGAGGGGCAGCACUC
rnacentral:lncRNA from 1 species